rnacentral:rRNA from 1 species
UGAACGCUAGCUACAGGCUUAACACAUGCAAGUCGAGGGGCAGCAUGGUCUUAGCUUGCUAAGGCCGAUGGCGACCGGCGCACGGGUGAGUAACACGUAUCCAACCUGCCGUCUACUCUUGGACAGCCUUCUGAAAGGAAGAUUAAUACAAGAUGGCAUCAUGAGUCCGCAUGUUCACAUGAUUAAAGGUAUUCCGGUAGACGAUGGGGAUGCGUUCCAUUAGAUAGUAGGCGGGGUAACGGCCCACCUAGCCAACGAUGGAUAGGGGUUCUGAGAGGAAGGUCCCCCACAUUGGAACUGAGACACGGUCCAAACUCCUACGGGAGGCAGCAGUGAGGAAUAUUGGUCAAUGGACGAGAGUCUGAACCAGCCAAGUAGCGUGAAGGAUGAAGGUCCUACGGAUUGUAAACUUCUUUUAUAAGGGAAUAAACCCUCCCACGUGUGGGAGCUUGUAUGUACCUUAUGAAUAAGCAUCGGCUAACUCCGUG